UACGUAGGGUGCAAGCGUUGUCCGGAAUUAUUGGGCGUAAAGAGCUCGUAGGCGGUCUGUCGCGUCGGCUGUGAAAUCCCGAGGCUCAACCUCGGGUCUGCAGUCGAUACGGGCAAACUAGAGUAUUGCAGGGGAGACUGGAAUUCCUGGUGUAGCGGUGAAAUGCGCAGAUAUCAGGAGGAACACCGGUGGCGAAGGCGGGUCUCUGGAACGCAACUGACGCUGAGACGCGAAAGCGUGGGGAGCAAACAGG
rnacentral:rRNA from 1 species